AAAGCUUUCAAGAAGCGUGUUACUGAGAAACAAUGGAAGUUCCUCUCUGCAAGUUCUCCCUGCUUCUUUCUCUGAUCGUCACCCUGGUCAUAUGUAUCGAAGGAAACAGUAUCCUGGAUGUUUAUACAGUGGGCUGCCAGGAUCCUGGAGUAAGCUUCACGGCAGGAACACCAGGAUCUACAUGCUCCAAUUUGUGCGUUCCUGCCAUUCCCGCUGGCUAUAGAUUCACGUUUGAUGGACAGUUUGGUAUCCUCUUUAGCCAGCCCAACUGCAUGGGCUCAGCUACACGCUUGAAUUCCAGCCAAGAAGUUUGUGCAGUGGUGAGCUCCAGCCCAAUCAAGUCUUUCAAGUUCGCGUGUCUCUAGACAUGCAAUAAGACAAGUUGCUUAAUUAUUUAAUUUGACAGCAAUUAUAUAUAUAUAAGUUUGUU